UACGUAGGCAGCGAGCGUUGUUCGGAGUUACUGGGCGUAAAGGGUGUGUAGGCGGUUGUUUAAGUUUGGUGUGAAAUCUCCCGGCUCAACUGGGAGGGUCAUUCGAUACUGAUCGACUCGAAGGCAGGAGAGGGUAGUGGAAUUCCCGGUGUAGUGGUGAAAUGCGUAGAUAUUGGGAAGAACACCGGUGGCGAAGGCGGCGACCUGGUCCUUGACUGACGCUGAGGCGCGAAAGCGUGGGAGCAAACAGG
rnacentral:rRNA from 1 species